rnacentral:rRNA from 1 species
AGAGUUUGAUCCUGGCUCAGGAUGAACGCUGGCGGCGUGCCUAAUACAUGCAAGUCGAGCGAACAGACGAGGAGCUUGCUCCUCUGACGUUAGCGGCGGACGGGUGAGUAACACGUGGAUAACCUACCUAUAAGACUGGGAUAACUUCGGGAAACCGGAGCUAAUACCGGAUAAUAUAUUGAACCGCAUGGUUCAAUAGUGAAAGACGGUUUUGCUGUCACUUAUAGAUGGAUCCGCGCCGCAUUAGCUAGUUGGUAAGGUAACGGCUUACCAAGGCAACGAUGCGUAGCCGACCUGAGAGGGUGAUCGGCCACACUGGAACUGAGACACGGUCCAGACUCCUACGGGAGGCAGCAGUAGGGAAUCUUCCGCAAUGGGCGAAAGCCUGACGGAGCAACGCCGCGUGAGUGAUGAAGGUCUUCGGAUCGUAAAACUCUGUUAUUAGGGAAGAACAAAUGUGUAAGUAACUAUGCACGUCUUGACGGUACCUAAUCAGAAAGCCACGGCUAACUACGUGCCAGCAGCCGCGGUAAUACGUAGGUGGCAAGCGUUAUCCGGAAUUAUUGGGCGUAAAGCGCGCGUAGGCGGUUUUUUAAGUCUGAUGUGAAAGCCCACGGCUCAACCGUGGAGGGUCAUUGGAAACUGGAAAACUUGAGUGCAGAAGAGGAAAGUGGAAUUCCAUGUGUAGCGGUGAAAUGCGCAGAGAUAUGGAGGAACACCAGUGGCGAAGGCGACUUUCUGGUCUGUAACUGACGCUGAUGUGCGAAAGCGUGGGGAUCAAACAGGAUUAGAUACCCUGGUAGUCCACGCCGUAAACGAUGAGUGCUAGGUGUUGGGUCCUUUCCGGGACUCAGUGCCGCAGCUAACGCAUUAAGCACUCCGCCUGGGGAGUACGACCGCAAGGUUGAAACUCAAAGGAAUUGACGGGGGCCCGCACAAGCGGUGGAGCAUGUGGUUUAAUUCGAAGCAACGCGAAGAACCUUACCAGGUCUUGACAUCCCUCUGACCGCUCUAGAGAUAGAGUUUUCCUUCGGGACAGAGGUGACAGGUGGUGCAUGGUUGUCGUCAGCUCGUGUCGUGAGAUGUUGGGUUAAGUCCC